AACGAACGCUGGCGGCAGGCCUAACACAUGCAAGUCGAGCGAGGACUUCGGUCCUAGCGGCGGACGGGUGAGUAACGCGUGGGAACGUGCCCUUUGCUUCGGAAUAGCCCUGGGAAACUGGGAGUAAUACCGGAUGAGCCCUUUGGGGGAAAGAUUUAUCGGCGAAGGAUCGGCCCGCGUUGGAUUAGGUAGUUGGUGGGGUAUGGCCUACCAAGCCGACGAUCCAUAGCUGGUUUGAGAGGAUGAUCAGCCACACUGGGACUGAGACACGGCCCAGACUCCUACGGGAGGCAGCAGUGGGGAAUCUUAGACAAUGGGGGAAACCCUGAUCUAGCCAUGCCGCGUGAGCGAUGAAGGCCUUAGGGUUGUAAAGCUCUUUCAGCUGGGAAGAUAAUGACGGUACCAGCAGAAGAAGCCCCGGCUAACUCCGUG
rnacentral:rRNA from 1 species